UACAGAGGGUGCGAGCGUUAAUCGGAAUUACUGGGCGUAAAGCGUGCGUAGACGGUUAUUUAAGUCGGAUGUGAAAGCCCCGGGCUCAACCUGGGAAUUGCAUUCGAGACUGAAUAGCUAGGGUGCGGUAGAGGGAAGCGGAAUUUCCGGUGUAGCGGUGAAAUGCGUAGAUAUCGGAAGGAACAUCAGUGGCGAAAGCGGCUUCCUGGACCAAUACUGACGCUCAUGUGCGAAAGCGUGGGGAGCAAACAGG
rnacentral:rRNA from 1 species